GAUGAAGAACGUAGCGAAAUGCGAUAAGUAAUGUGAAUUGCAGAAUUCAGUGAAUCAUCGAAUCUUUGAACGCACAUUGCGCCCGCCAGUAUUCUGGCGGGCAUGCCUGUUCGAGCGUCAUUACAACCCUCAGGCCCCCGGGCCUGGCGUUGGGGAUCGGCGGAAGCCCCCUGCGGGCAUAACGCCGUCCCCCAAAUACAGUGGCGGUCCCGCCGCAGCUUCCAUUGCGUAGUAGCUAACACCUCGCAACUGGAGAGCGGCGCGGCCACGCCGUAAAACACCCAACUUCUGAAUGUUGACCUCGAAUCAGGUAGGAAUACCCGCUGAACUUAAGCAUAUCAAUAAGCGGAGGA
rnacentral:misc_RNA from 1 species